rnacentral:rRNA from 1 species
AGCUCCAAAAGCGUAUAUUAAAGUUGUUGCAGUUAAAACGCUCGUAGUCGGAUUUCGGGGCGAGCCUGCCGGUCUGCCGAUGGGUAUGCACUGGCAGGGUCGUCCUUCCUUCCGGAGACUGUCCCUACUCUUAACUGAGCGGGGUCGGGAGACGGAUCGUUUACUUUGAAAAAAUCAGAGUGUUUCAAGCAGGCAGCUCGCUCUUGCAUGGAUUAGCAUGGGAUAAUGAAAUAGGACUUUGGUGCUAUUUUGUUGGUUUCGAACACCGAAGUAAUGAUUAACAGGGACAGUCAGGGGCACUCGUAUUCCGCCGAGAGAGGUGAAAUUCUCAGACCAGCGGAAGACGAACCACUGCGAAAGCAUUUGCCAGGGAUGUUUUCA